rnacentral:lncRNA from 1 species
UUGGACUUCUUCCUCCUUAACCGUUAGCUUCAAAAUUAAUCAUGUUGCAACGUUUGCACGAUGAUUCAAAUCUUGAUGAUGGUGGUUCCAACUAUUUUGUAGCAGUGAAUUAGAGGCUAUUUUGGAUCAUGUUUGGUGGCAAAAAUAGUUUUCGAGGAUGGUGAGUAUAGUGACGUUACCGAAAAAGGGUGGUUACUUUUUGGAUAUGGAGGAGAUGAAGUGGAAGGAGGGAAGGGAGUCUUCUAGUGAAAAAGGGCAUAUCCUCAAAGAAGAAAGUCUGGGUUUUAUCUUGCUACCAGUUCACACGAGAGUUUUUCUUUUUCUCUUUUACUGGAUUUGUAUUCUUUUGGUUAUGGAUAUAUGUGAAAAUCCAUUUUCUUUCCUUUAUGUUGGACGCGUUUCCAAAGGUUAUUAGGGAAAUUCAUGGGAUUCCCCUCCUUUCCCAACUAUCAGUGUGAGAGAGGAUCUUUCCAAAAGUGAUUAUUCAUGC